CCUACGGGUGGCUGCAGUGAGGAAUAUUGGUCAAUGGACGAGAGUCUGAACCAGCCAAGUAGCGUGAAGGAUGACUGCCCUAUGGGUUGUAAACUUCUUUUAUAUGGGAAUAAAACGUUCCACGUGUGGGAUUUUGUAUGUACCAUAUGAAUAAGGAUCGGCUAACUCAGUGCCAGCAGCCGCGGUAAUACGGAGGAUCCGAGCGUUAUCCGGAUUUAUUGGGUUGAAAGGGAGCGUAGGUGGAUUGUUAAGUCAGGUGUGAAAGUUUGCGGCUCAACCGUAAGAUUGCAGUUGAAACUGGGAGUCUUGAGUGCAGGAGGGGUGGGCGGAAUUCGUGGUGUAGCGGUGAAAUGCUUAGAUAUCACGAAGAACACCGAUGGCGAAGGCAGUUCACUGGACUGCAACUGACGCUGAGGCUCGAAAGUGUGGGUAGCAAACAGGAUUAGAUACCCGUGUAGUC
rnacentral:rRNA from 1 species